GACAAAGAAAACUCUUGGCCCUCCAACCUUAUUGUCUCCAUCUUUCGAAGAAGAAUAAUAUUUAAAAACUAACUUGUCUUAAUUAGGGCAUUUAGAAUGACAGGACUAGCACUGACUCACUUGGGAAUUCAUAACCCUACAUAUAAUCACUUUUGGAAUGGAGUGCAUUUAUGCCUUCAAAAAGUUGGCCUCAUUUUCUGAAGCUGAAAUCCUUUUGAUCAUAAUUACUUCUGACCUAAAAUUACCCACAGUCACCAUACAAUGCCACGCUGGGACAAAAAAGAAAUACAUAUUAUUGCAUUCUUACCCAAAUACUCUUCGUGAUUGCCUGCUUUGCGGCUUUGGGAUUCUUCAGGGAGUAGAGAACAUUCACACGGGUUGACAUCCCAGUUUUCUCAGCAUAGUUGGGUCUUGCUGUGUUGCCCAGGUUGAUCUCAAUCUCCUUGCCUCAAGCAGUCUCUCUGCCUCAGCCUCCCCAAGUGCUGGGAUUACAGUUUAUGUCCAUGCUGCAGGUAUAAAGGAUGAAGUUGUAGGGCAGGAAGUCUUAUGACACUUGGAGCAGCUACUCAAUGGAAAUCACGAACAGAAUGAGUUUCAUCGACAUGUCAAGACACUACUACCAACAGAGCUAUUGCAGGACACCUACCUAAAUAACUAGCUGUCUCUUCCACUUAAAGCAAGACAUGGGAUCUCACCAUUUUAUUGCCUAGGCUGGAGUGCAAUAUUGUGAUCCUAGCUCGCUGCAGCCUUGAACUCCUGGGCUCAAGUGAUCCUCUCUCCUCAGUCUCCUGAGUAGCUGGAUUACAGAUUUCAGCUAAACAAACUACAACCUAUUUUCCCAGUGUUUCCAAACCUGUCCCGAGGCAGAGAUGACUGUAAAGAGCCCCUCAGGAGCCCUUAUUUGUGGUUUCUAGGCUGAAGGCUGGCUGUGCAACUUUGGCAUUCUUGAUCUAUCACCUGUGACUGAAAGCUCCCAAACUGAUGCAAAACUUCGAACUACAUAGGAAAGAGAUGGAUUCAAUGGUGAUCACUUUCCUUUGGAUCUCUGCAAAACUACAUACCUAUGCAACAUAUUUUUGGAUAUAAUUUCAGUUGUCUCUGAAAAUGUCUCCUCAUCUGCCUUUGAGUGGUAUGGAAUCACUACUGAGCCUCCACUAUUGGUGCCAUCAAAGACCUCAGUGAUGCCAAGGUAAUGACACUGAUGCCCUCCAAGAGCAUCCUAUCUUUGCUGCUGCCUGUGAUACCAAUGUUGUGUGUGGUCCUCCCCAGUUUCUUGUUUCACUGAGCUGCAGAUUAGUCUGUUCACUGCUUGCGCCCUGGAAUUGAACACUUGAAUGUGCUUUAACCUUGUUGUAUCUUCUACCCCUCUUGUUACACUCUCUUACAUAAUUAUAUUUCCAUAGAUUUACCACAAAAAAGAGAUCCUUCUGACUUUAUUUUUGUUUUACUAUAAUUUACUGACAAGCCCUUCUUCCUAGAACUCAAGUUCAAGUCUAUGCAGGCUGGACUGGAGGCUAUCUUUUCUCUCCCAAGCCUGAUGCCAUUUGAUAGCUCAGCUGUGCUUUGGUGAUCUUUAUUCUUAUGAUGAAGUUUUUCCUAAGAGAUGGCUUCAUUCCUCAUGCAUAGACUCCUCUAAGUGCAUUUACAAGUCUUGCAAAUUUGCACACAAAAAUUUCCAUCUCCAAUAAAAAUACAUAAAGUCAAGAUAAGACCUCCCUUUGACAUGUGUAUUUUAAAUAAUUAUCUGGAUGUUUUUCUUUUAAAAAUUAAAUAUAUUAUCAGUAUUGAGUCAUCUGUAGGAUUUACUGAACUUCAUGAAAGACCUUGCACCCCAGAAUACCCUAGUCUUUUCUAUUAUUCAGUGUUAAGGGAUGGAAAGAAUACCUAUGUAGUAGCUUACACUUUCUUCAGCUUUAAGAUGCCUGUUUUGGGAUUUUUUGUUUUUGUUUUUACAUUUUAACAUUUAUAAAAUCAAGACAUUUCUUACAAACAAUGUGUACAUUUAAUGCUUGGGGUUUUAGUUUUUGUAUCCUUGAAAACAAUUGAAAGUAUGUCUUAGAAAUGAUAAUAUCAUUGAGUCAAGAAAAUAUAAUAAUCAGCUUUCUACUAUUUCUCAGUUCUUUUCACUUGGAAACUAUAUUUGGCCUGAGAUGUAUCCAAACACACAUGUAUUAACAAGCAACAAUACACUGAUUUAAUUGAAUAAUUAAGGAAGUGACCUCUUGAUACAAUGAUAGAGGCAGGGGGCAGAGAAAUUCUAGGCAGAAAAGGGUAGGUCCCCGACAAAACCCCACCUUCGAGCCAAAAACCCUAAAACUGUGGCCCAAAGUGAGAACUUCUAUCCCUGUUUUCCCACUUGAAUGUUGCCUUUUCCUAAACUACCCAUGGCCCACCCCAUCCCCCAUCCUGUGCCUGUAAAGACCUCAGACUCAGCCAGCAGAGAGAAGCAGCAGCUGGACAUCAGGACUAUGGCUGGAUGUCAGAGAGAAGUGGCUUGAUUUCCAAGGGAGAGCAUGAUGGCAUAACUUUGGAGAAAAAUCUGGUCAGAGACAGCCAGACUUCAGGGGAAGAUUACCUACCCACUCCAUUCCCUUUUCAGCUCCCCUUCCUGCUGAGAGCUACUUUCAUCAGCAAUAAAAUCCCCUGCAUUUACCAUUCUUCAAUUCGUUUGGUGCAACCUCCUAUUUCCUGGAUGCUGGACAAGAGCUUGGGAGCCAUGAGUGUGGAUAGAAAAGGCUGUCACACUGGCUUUUUGCUUUUGCUGGUGGAAGGCAGCCACCUCAUGUGAAAAGGCAGAGGGCCUACUGAACUGUUAACACUUAAGCUGUCCACAGACCAGACAGCAGAGCUAAAAGAGCACAGUAAUAUGCCCUCUGGAGCUUUGGGGGUUGCAGGCACCCCUCACCUAGAUGCUGCCACAGGGCCUGCAGAGACUUUGCUCCUGCCAGUGCCCAAAAGCACUCGUUCCAGCUCCUGCACCCACUCACCUGUGGGCUCCCUCCCACAAGGGGUGGAACGCAACAGAUACACGUGAGUGGAGUUUGAUCCUGCUGGCACCAAAGCAGCUAGCUGGUUCCAGUGCUCAUGCACUCCAGUUCCUGCCUCAUUCACUCACACACUCCCUCCUGCGAGGAGUUGAGAGUGGUGGGCUGAGUAAACAAGACACCUGUGUCAUGAGUCCCCCAAAAGGGUCAGGGAAAUAUCUUGCUUCACUUUGACCUAGAUACAAAUAACAUGACUGAGGAAACCUAAUUAAUUUAGUAUAAGAUGUUUAAACUGCUGAAGAUUGCCUGCCAGAGGAUUUGAGAUGUGUAAGUACAACAGAAUUGUUCAUAUUCUUGAUGUAUAUGAUGGGUAUUAUUUUCAUGUGAGUCUACAUAGAUAUACAUUAUCUUUAUAAUAAGUAAACAAGUAUUUUGCAUGGAUCAGUUUGACUGUCAUAUAGGAUGGUUUUUAGAGAGUGGUGCUAGGGUGUCAACAUCAUGUGUGUGAUUCUUACACAGACCAAUAAUCUUUGUCCUGCUACAUGGCUACGGACCGAACCUUGAUAUCAGUCUCCUGUCUUCAAAAUUUGCCCUAUUGUUUUUAAUGGGCUUCUAAUAAAAGAGUGUAAAUAAAUUAACAUAAGUCAGUUCACACUAUAGAGAAGUAAAAGAGUCUCCAAGAACAUUCCAUAAUCAGGCUCUUCUUGACUUGGCACUAAGGAUAAUAAGUUGGCUCUUCUGCUUCAAACUUGAGUUAUGUGGUCAGAACAUUCUCUCAAUUCUUCAUCAGGCUUGGAAUCUUUGCCAUCUACCCACUAAGUCAUAGAUCACCUCUGAUCAGCAUUAGUCCCCUCUCCUGACCCAGAGGCCAUGAUGAUAAAGUAUGUGGACUGAACUGUAUCGAUGGUGCUUCUGAUCUGUUGCCUAUUGAACACGUGUUCCAAAGGGUACAGAGGAUGCAAUGAGAAUGUAUAUCCUGAAGAUGUAUAAUGUGGUGCUGGGAUACUGAACUCAUACUGUUCCAGAUAUAUCAAAACUCUGCUAGUCUUACCACAUCUGAUUUAAACUCUUUCAUCUUUAUUUUUCCUAGCUUAACAAAAACCUCUGCAAAUUUCCAAGUCUCAUUCUAACUUGUAGUAAAGCUCCAAAGAGCAUCCAUUUUUCCUCUUUCAACUUUUAUUACAUUGGGUCACCUUGGCCUUUGAAGAGUCUGUGUGAUUAAGUGUACCCUGAAAUCACUGCCUCAAAACCACCUGAGAUCAAAAUACGGAUGCCUAUUCCCCACCACAAGCCCACUCAAUCAGAAUAUCCAGAGGCAAGAUGCAGCCCAAAAGCACCCCUUGUUUAGGAACUACUGAUUUGGUGAGACUACCAGCAGUACACCUUAUAGCAGUUGAGUAUCGUAGCAAUUUAAUCAUGCACCUAAUGGGAGUAGGAGGUGUGCAAACUGCCCUUCAUGAGUAACCUAGAGACACUCACAAGAACCAACUUCACCAUCACUAUCAUUCUCUAUCUCUGACUGAAAAUGACAUUUAUUUCUUCAUAGAGGCAAACAGGUAUUCUACCACUAACAGGUCCUCACAUUAAAAUUUUGCUUGAGGCUGCAGUGAACUAUGAUCAUGCCACUGCUCUUCAGCAAGGGCUUCAGAGUGAGACCCCAUCUCUAAAAAGAAAAAAAAGAAAAUUUUGCUAAAAACAAGUAGACACCAAAGACCCAUCAGUCAGAAGCCAGCCUAGUCUGAAAGAAACCGCUACAAAGACCAUCUGAUGUUUUAUUAGCAGCACUUUGCUCAGCCCCUGGUUAAAAAGCAGUUCUCUGCAGCAACCCAGUUUUAGUUGUCCCCAGGGAUCUGGCUUGAAAAGAAGUUUGACAUUAUAUUUUCUAAGCCAAAGGGGCACUUCUAGCUUAGAAGCAUCAGACCAGACACCUGGUCAGGAGCAUUGUAAGUCACUUAUUUCUCAAUGAACAAGUUAUUACCCUUUCCUUUUUGUCUGAAUUGCUGUCCCUAGAUGCCAUUCCCAUGGGUGAUCUCUACCUGCACAUUGCUCUACUCCUGGUAUUGAUAGGUCCAUGUGUCAUGCAGCCUGAGGAGAAACAUGGUUUGAUAUCCUAAGGGGGCAAUUUCUCUCCUUGGGGAAGAGCCGGCUUCCAUUGCUGUGCCUUGCCUCUCAUUAAUGUUCCAGCUAGGUCUCUUUACUGCUCUAUUUAACAGCAUCCACUCCAUUAUUGAUCAUAUUUUGUGUAAUUGUAGAUUUGCUGGUGAAAAUGAUGAUUAUGCUGUAAAGAGAGGGCAGUGUUUGGGAUCUCGCUUCUAUAAAAUUUAGCAGUGCUGUGGAGUCUGCCUCAAAUAAGUGAAUUGGAGAUGCAUUCUGGAUGAGUGGUAAUAGGGGUGAAACCAGUUCCUGAGAGUGAGAUGAUCUAAUGCUUCCCUCUACACUGUAAGCCAAGACCACUCCAAAGCUGAUGUUUCAUGUCUUAGCCCAAAGGAUUUAACACUACAGGCCUUUUGUAAUCUCUAAGUGGGUACUCUGUACAUUUUAACAUGGAACAAUGUGACCACAUUUUUAUAUUUUCUAUAUUUUCAGUCUAAUUUACUGCUUUAUUUGAUAUAUGGUAAAGUUAAGAGUUUUUGUUCAUUCUUUCAUUAUUCUUUACACUGAAAAUUGCGUAGGGUUGUAAUCUUUUAAUUCAUAUCUAUUUCUUCUGAAAGCUGACAAUUGCUUCAAUUAUAUUCUGUCACCUUUCUGCUAUUACCAAUACCUUCUUGCCUAGCCUUUUAUAUUUAACUCAAUCAGUCAUGAUAAUAAACAAAUUAAUUUACUUCUUUUUUAAGUCAUUGAAUUGAAGAUGGGAGGGUCACUGAAUCAGUCAGGUUCCAAUCAGGAGACAGAAGCCACAUAGCAAUGUGAACAAGGAAAGCUUAGUGAAAAAGGAUUAUUAACUACAAGAGUGGAUUGCCAUCUUAGGAGUAGGUAAUUCUUACCUAUUUGGGGUAAGAUUACAGAAAUAGCACAGAGAGGGAGCAGCCACUACCUCUAGGUUUGAGGCAGAGGACCCAGUGAAGCCCUGCCUCCUUCAAGGUCUCAGUGAGACCCAGUCUCCCUUGGAGAGGACUUGAUCAUUCAUGGCUCACUGAAUGGCAGGCCAGUUUCCCAUAAUAGUGGAACAUCUAAAAAGCUGCCCUCUGCGUUGCUGGGGAAAAGCUGCUAAGGGGGAGAUACUGAUGAAAUGUGCUGCCUCUGAACCCUGCUCGUGUCCUGUGAAUGCUGCCUACCUUAUACUACAGAAGUAACCAGAAAACACACAGAAACCAGAAAGAACAGCCCUUUCCUCCUCCAGUGUCCCUCCAGUGCCCUCUACUGCAAAAAGGGAACAUUGUGCAAGCUGGCAAGGGAGAAAUGUCCCACUAUCAAAAGCAGGGCAAUGAAGCGUAGAUUUGGAAGUGAGAGGCAAUAGCCUAAUAACUGACAUAGUCCACCCCUUUGGUCACUGAGCUUCUAUGUGCACCCAUCUGCACGCAAAUGAACUUCUUUACAACAACCAUGCAAGUCUGUUUCCACCUAACAAUGUAUAGCUAUCCUUCAUAUAAGGGAAGAUGUUCUUAUCCUUUCCCCAAAAUGAAGAGACAUAGAAUGCCAACAGUCAUUAUAACCAUCAUUAGCCAUAUUAAUUACUCCUCAAAUUCAAUCAUAGUCCCACUAAGUAUCCCAUUACCCAGAGACUAAGGUAUAUUGAGAACUGGCACAACCAUUAAGAAAAUGGAGCCCAAAGCUACCUCCUCUAACCUCUAUGGCAAACCUCCCCCUACAUGGUAUCUCCAUGACCACAAAUCUUCUUCCUCUCAAGCCUUUGUUCCCCUGCCUAGUCUGAAGUAACAUGAUCCAGUUGAUGCCCACCUACCUACUGCUGCUUCUGCCACUUCCCAUCUUCAUCAUUGCUGCAUUUUACUAGCUGACACCUCUUAGACAAGGCCUUGAUACAGUGCCCUAUGCAGUCGCUACCUGCAUGCUCAUGGUACGGAGUAUGAAUGACAGUAAAAAUUACACAAGUAACAGUUAAACUUAAUCAUUUCACUCUCCUUCCCCAAAUAGGGAAAUUGGACAAUUUAAGUUUAAUUCAUGUCUCUCCCACCUCAGCCAGUUAAUAAGAAUUGAGUAUCCCAAAGUCAAUGAGGAAAAAAAAAUAACUUAAAUUUUAAAAUAUAGUCAAUGAGAAGAGGACUAAAGAGAAGCAGACUAGAUCAUUCGCCCAUGGAAAGUGAAGACUUGCCAAUACAAUGUGCCUUUUUAGUGUUUUCCUUCAAUUGUUACAAAUCUGUGAUUUGUUAUAUUUGACCCAGUGGAAGUCCUGCAAGUCACACUGACCUAUUAAUAGAAACCCAGACUCCAAACAACCAAGAAACAGAGCUCAGGCCUGCUUCAUUUCUCUACUUGCACCUCAAGAGCAGCAGUGACCUUUGCCUAUCAUCCGACAACAAUGUGGAUGGCAUCAUAUUUCUACCGACAUCUCUGUUUGGUGUGUGAAGUUAUUUCCAAAAAGCUUCAUUCAUUUAAUCCUCCAGCUGUCUAAAAAUCUUUAUGGGUGACCAUUUUUAGCAUGCCCUUUACCCUUUGCUCUCUGAACCCAUCCAGGUCCUUGCUUAAGGCUCCCAAAGGUCUAAGAGCAGUAGGGGGAGAAAGUGAAAACUGGAUACCUAAUGAUAUAGAAGUCAGCUGGUAAAGUCCAUAAAAUUACUUUGGGGAUUAGCUGGUAGAAGAGGUGGUGCUGUGUUUGUGCUUCUACUUUCACAACACAAAAUAAUUAAUGAGUAAAAAAUACUUUUUGUUUAAUAAUUGCUGUUCUUCAUUAGUGUGAACCAAGGGCAUGGUCUAUCUAAGACAAUAACAUCUGCACCCCAUAUUUCAUUAUCACCAAACUUCACAUUUCACACAAAAGCAUUGCUAGCACAGCCUUACAGCUUUAAUUAGUUUCUGCCAUAGCUGUGAAGGUCAGCCAAUUAUUGUGUGUGAAAUUUCAAUAUGAAGUGGCUGAAUUGAAGACAGCAUUGCAACAGUGUGGGAUUCUGCAGUGCUGUAAAUCUAGUACUUUGGAACCAUUUUUUAAAACACAAGAUAACAUAAAAUAAUCAUCAGGUAUGCAUGGCUUCAAGGCUUACUGGUUAAUUUAACAUGUGCUUGGUGGGGGAAGAAAACCACAUCAUUUCUGAUUGUUGCUUAAAUUCCCUCAUUACAUCGUCAUUAUCUGUGACACAGUUGUUAAGGCUGAAUCCAUGUUUUUAUGAUCAACAUCUUUUAACUCACUUAGAAUUGCACUGGAACAUUUGAUUUAGAAAUAAAGCCUGGUUUUACUGGAUUUACAUGAUGCUUACACAUACACAUGCAUAUAGAUACAUAUAUACAUACACAUAUAUUUUAUAUAGGUACAUAAUGUUUAAUAUGUACGUAUUCAUAUGUAUACACACGUUUAAACACUGCAUGUUUGACCCAUCAAAAUAUAAAGAUAUUAAUUAAGUCAACUUAAGAAUAUCAUUUUACUGAAAAACUUGCCGAAUUAGAAAAAAAUUUACUAGGGAUUCAACUUUAUGAGUUUUCUAUUUAGGAUCAUAGAACUUUGAAAUUAGAAAUGAUCUUGAAGCUCAUCUGCUCUAGCCCCUCUGUUUUAUGCAUGAGGAAAUAUGCCCAAGAAUAAUACAGGUUUUCCCAAGUCCAAGAGUGUCAGCAACUCAACUCAAAUUCUGGACUCCUAUUUCUCCUGACUUUCCAUGGGCCUGUUUUACCAUGGCAUAACAAUGUAGAUAAGAUGUGCCACAUGAUAAAUAAAAGCUCCAAAUUUUGCUCUCGGAUUUUCAUGAGAUUGGAGGCCAGUUUGCUUUGUUUUGUUUUCUACAUAGAUAUAUGUAGUUUAAUCCUAAUUCAAGCAAACAAAUAUUUUUUGAGCUAUCCUUUGUGCAAGGAACCCUGAAAAGCAUCCCAUGUAUCUAGCAUGAUUAAAAUGUUUUCACCAAGUUUACAAACCGGCAGCAUAGAUAAAACAAAGAGGAGGAGGAAAAAGAGACCACAGAGUUAAUGGAAACACCUGUCAGAUUGGAGGAGCAUAAAGACAGGGUAGAGCUAAGGAGGCAUACCAAAAGAUAAGUCAGAAGAAAGAAAAUGGAAGAAUAUUGAGCAGCAUCCCUGGCUUCUACCCACUAGAUGCCAGUAGUGCCCCCUGCUCAAAUCAUGACAUUAAACAUUCUCUCUAUACAUUGACACAUGUUCCCAGACAGGGGUAGAGGGGGAGCAAAUUUAUUUAAGAACCACUGAUCUAGGGUCUAGAUUCCAGACUAUAAAGUAUUGUGGAUCUUGGAAGACUUCUCGUUUCCAAAAUAGACAAUUUACUUCAACUUCACUGGGAUGCAUGAACCUUUGAUCCUUCCAUGAUUUCCCAAGCUACAGGCUGGGAAGGUAAUAUCACAGACUGCAGAGAGGCUCAGAAGCUAAAGAUUGAACUGAGGUUGCUUGAUUUGAUGGUUUGGUGACCUAUGGAAGGAAGUUAGAUUGCAAUGGAUUAAAGAGUAAGUGAAUGUGAUUGAGCAGUGAGCAAGUACAGUUGCAGGUGUGCACAAUUCUUCCAAUGAGUUAAAAAGUAAAAGAGCAGAGGUGAUGUAGCAUCUCCAGGGAAUUAUAGGGUUGAGCACUCUCAACCUCAGGAACUGUUGAUAUCUGGAGCAGAUAAGUCUUUGUUGGGGUUGGGGGAAAAGAGGACCUGUAAUUUUAAAUGGGAUGUUUUGCAGCACCCCUGGUUUCUACUCUUAAGAUGCCAGUAACACUCCUACCCUCAGUUGUGAAAACCAAAAAUGCCUCCAGUUGAUGCCAAAUGUCCACUGGAAUGUAAAAUCUUUCCUAAUUGAGAACCACCGGGUUAGGGAAAAGGAUUUUUUAGUUUUUUAAUUUAAAGUAAAGAAAACUUAAGCAAGUUUUCAGAAACAGAAGAAAAGACAAGGAGAAUGAGAGAGAUUAAAGAUGCAAGGGGAAACAAGGACACACGGGGAGGGGACCAAAACAAGAAAAAGGUAAUAAUAGGGAAGACCAAGAGUGCUUUGAACAGGAGAAUGAACUUUCCUUCAGAGCAAAUAAAGAAAUAGAAGGUCUGUAAAUGGAAGACAGAUGUUAACAGCAGUCAAACCAGGAAGUCUUGAUCUUUGAAGCAAAGUUGUAGAUGAGCUUUGUUUGAUGGUAGGAUUUGAGAGUAGGAAUUCACUAUAAAGUUGAGAGGCAAACUUCUGGCCACUGCUUAGCUGGGACUUGAGAGAAUACCUUGGUAGCAGAACCAAGAAGUGUAUAAAAGAUGCCAAAGUUGUUUCUUACUCAAUUAACCUUUACCUGCCUGGCAGCAGGAGCAGAAAAAUGGACACUUCUGCUGAGGCAGAAACAGCAGAAGGACAAGUGGCAAAAGGGAAUGGGGGCAAAGUAGGAAAUCUGUGAGUGUACAUGAGGCACAGACUGAGUUAAGAGGGAGAAAAGGGAUGAAUCAAGGGAUCAUGCAUCCCAAUGAGAUUGAAGCAGAUUCUCUGUUUUGGAAUUAGAGGCCUCUCUAAGAUCCGUAAUACUCUGUGGUCUACAAACUAGAAUCUAGAUCAAAUGACUUUGUCACAUCCCUACUCCUGCCAGGGACAUUUGGCAAUGUCUGGAAACAAUUUUUAUUAUUAUGAUUGAGGCCAAGACAGGGUGGCAGUGGGAGUGGGACAGGGGUACUACAGGCAUCUAGUGGGCAGAAGCCAGGGAUGCUGCUGAACAUCCUAUAAUGAAUGGUGUAACCCUCACAAUAAAGAAUUAUCUGGUGCAUGGAGUCAACAGUGUCACUAUUGAGAAACCUUAAGAAACCUUUUAUUCUAGAUUAAAACUAGCUAUCUUGGAAGUUAGCUAAUGAAAACUCUUACGACUUUUUUUAAGAAAUUAAGCUGCUGAAAUUUCUUUUUUACAACCCUAUUAUACUUUAGCAUCAAUUUUUAUAGUCUUUUGGAAAGAAGGACCUCCAACUGCUUUUAUUUAUUAAUUAUUCCAUCCCAAAUAAGUUGAGUUUUAUAAUGGGGCCCAUGUUAAGCAUAGAAAAUAUAAAAAUAAGGUUGACAUAGACAAGCAUUAACUUAGAGAGAAGCAUAACUAUGGAAUGAAUUGUGUCCCUCCAAAAUCCAUAUGUUGAAGCCCUAAUCCCUAGUGUGACCGUAUUAGCAGAUAGUGCCCCUAAGAAGGUAAUUAAAGCUAAAUUAGGUCAUAAGGGUGGGGCCCUGAUGUGAUAGGAUUAGUAUCUUUAUAAGAAGAGACACCAGAGAUCUAGUGUCUGCAAGCCAGGAAGACAGGCCUCACCAGAAACCUGCCAUGCUAGCACCCUGAUCUCUGUCCUCUCUCCCCAAGAACUGUGAGAAAAUAAAUGUCUAUUGUUUAAACCACCCAAUGUCUAGUAUUUUAAUAUAGUAGCCUAAGGAGACCAAGACAGAAUAUUCUCCUGUUUUGUUGCUAUUGUUAAUUUGUUCAUUUAUUCUAACACUUGUCCUAAGCAAAUGCUAAGAAGCCAGUUUUGUCUUAGGAGUCUUCCCAUUCUAACCUAACUUCUUAUUCUCCACUCUUCUCCCCAUCUUUGGCAGUAAGGAAAAGAGAUUGUACUUCAAAAUUAGACAGACCUGUACAAAUUCUAGCACCUAACCUAAAAAGCACCAGGUUCGUUUUCCUCAUGUAUGGAAAGGGGCGAAAUCACAUUUACU